rnacentral:rRNA from 1 species
UCAAGCUGAUAAGAGCGCAAGGGGAAUGCCUUGGCAUCGAGAGCCGAAGAAGGACGUGACAAGCUGCGAUAAGUCUGGGGGAGCCGCACAUAGGCAUUGAUCCCGGAAUUUCCGAAUGGGGAAACCCGGCAGAGCAAUACUCUGUCAACGUGCGUUGAACAAAAUAGGCGUACGUGGGGAACCGCCUGAACUGAAACAUCUAAGUAGGGCGAGGAAGAGAAAUCAACCGAGAUUCCGCUAGUAGUGGCGAGCGAACGCGGAAGAGGGCAAACCGGAGGAUUUAUUCUCCGGGGUUGUGGACUUGCAUACGGCAUACUAGGUUAGCUGAACGGUAUGGGAAGGCCGGCCAUAGCGGGUGAGAGCCCCGUAAGCGAAAACCGAUGUAUGCCAGCGAGUAUCCAGAGUACCGCCGGACACGUGAAACCCGGUGGGAAGCUGGGGGGACCACCCUCCAACCCUAAAUACUACUCGAUGACCGAUAGAGGAGCAGUACCGUGAGGGAAAGGUGAAAAGGACCCCGGGAGGGGAGUGAAAUAGAACCUGAAACCUUGUGCUUACAAGCACUCAGAGCACGUUAAAGUGUGAUGAGGUACUUUUUGUAGAACGGUCCGGCGAGUUAUUGUACGGAGCAAGCUUAAGGUGUUGAGCACCGGAGGCGAAGCGAGAGCGAGUCUGAAUAGGGCGAAUACAGUUGCGUGCAAUAGACCCGAAACCAGGUGACCUAUCCAUGGGCAGGUUGAAGUGGGGGUAAAACCCCAUGGAGGACCGAACCGACCCCCGUUGCAAUGGUGGCGGAUGACCUGUGGAUAGCGGAGAAAUUCUAAUCGAACUUGGAGAUAGCUGGUUCUCCCCGAAAUAGCUUUAGGGCUAGCGUUAGUUUAGAUUACCGGAGGUAAAGCACUGAAUGGGCUAGGGGCUGAUAAAGUUACUGAACCCUAUCAAACUCAGAAUGCCGGAUAAUUGAUGACUAGCAGUCAGACUACGUGAGAUAAGUCUCGUGGUCAAAAGGGAAACAGCCCAGACCCACAGCUAAGGUCCCAAAGAUACGCUAAGUGGAAAACGAUGUGGAAUUGCGAAAACAACCAGGAUGUUGGCUUAGAAGCAGCCACUCAUUAAAAGAGUGCGUAAUAGCUCACUGGUCGAGUGACUCUGCGCGGAAAAUGUAACGGGGCUAAGCAUCUAACCGAAGCUUAGGAUUGUCAGCAAUGACAGUGGUAGGGGAGCGUUCCAUGUGGGGUGAAGUCGUAGCGAAAGCAGCGGUGGACUGCAUGGAAGUGAGAAUGCCGGAAUGAGUAGCGAGAAUUAUGUGGGAAUCAUAAUGGCCGAAAAUCUAAGGUUUCUUGGGGAAGGUUCGUCCGCCCAAGGUAAGCCGGGAGCUAAGGCGAGGCCGAAAGGCGUAGUCGAUGCACAUACGGUAGAAAUUCCGUAGCCACCGAACUUUAAGUCAGAGGGACACUUUUGGAUAGCGGAACCCGGGCGUUGGUUGACCCGGGCGAAAGGGAGCGAAAAUAUAGUAGCGAAGUCCGCGAUGCUGAGAGGCGAGAAAAGCUCUGAUGGAUACUAAGGUGCCCGUACCGCAAACCGACACAGGUAGAUGAGGAGAGAAUCCUAAGGCCAACGGGAGAAGGGUUGUUAAGGAACUCGGCAAGUUGACCCCGUAACUUCGGAAUAAGGGGAGCCUCGAAAGAGGCCGCAGUGAAAAGGCCCAAGCAACUGUUUACCAAAAACACAGGUCUAUGCUAAAUCGAAAGAUGACGUAUAUGGGCUGACGCCUGCCCGGUGCCGGAAGGUUAAGAGGAGAUGUCAGCGCAAGCGAAGCAUUGAAUUGAAGCCCCGGUAAACGGCGGCCGUAACUAUAACGGUCCUAAGGUAGCGAAAUUCCUUGUCAGGUAA